rnacentral:rRNA from 1 species
CCUACGGGGGGCUGCAGUGGGGGAUAUUGGACAAUGGGGGAAACCCUGAUCCAGCGACGCCGCGUGAGUGAAGAAGUCUUUCGGUAUGUAAAGCUCUUUUAGCAGGGAAGAAAGAAAUGACGGUACCUGAGUAAGAAGCCCCGGCGAACUACGUGCCAGCAGCCGCGGUAAUACGUAGGCGGCAAGCGUUCUCCGGAAUUACUGGGUGUAAAGGGAGCGUAGACGGUAAUGCAAGUCUGGAGUGAAAGGGGGGGGCCCAACCCCCGGACUGCUCGGGAAACUGUGUAACUGGAGUGCAGGAGAGGCAGGCGGAAUUCCUAGUGUAGCGGUGAAAUGCGUAGAUAUUAGGAGGAACACCAGUAGCGAAGGCAG